GGUCCUGUCUCAACUUUCAGUAAUUUCUGCAUUUGAGUUUACCAUGAUCAAUUCGUGUUGGAUUGCAAGCUUAUUUGUAUCCUGACAUGGUUCACAAGGCACUGAUGCAAAAGUAAGAAAAAUAUAUGUGAAGAAAGAUCACUGGGCUUUUAUAAUUCAACACAUGGACUUUAUGCCCCUGCAGUGCAC
rnacentral:lncRNA from 1 species